rnacentral:lncRNA from 1 species
GGCCGAAGCUAUAAUUCUAGUUGAAAUCGACUUACCUUCAACUCGGAUGGAACACUAAGAUGAAUCAACCAAUUCAAACAAAAAAUGAGCAGACUUGAAAUUGCUCGAGAAAACCUAAGAACGAGCUCGACUGAGAAUAGCCUCCUACCAACAAAGGAUAGUUCGAUAUUAUAACUUCCGAGUCAAACCAAAAAUCUUCCAAGUAGGAGACUUAAUCUUCAGAAGAGC